rnacentral:misc_RNA from 1 species
GCAAACUUGGUCAUUUAGAGGAAGUAAAAGUCGUAACAAGGUCUCCGUUGGUGAACCAGCGGAGGGAUCAUUACCGAGUUCUCAUGCUCCCAAACCCCCUGUGAACCUUACCGCAUCGUUGCCUCGGCGGGGGACCGCCCCGGCGAGCCGCGUGGCGCCGGGUCCCGCCGGAGGACACCCUAACUCUUGUUUCCCAACGGUGGCAUCUCUCCGAGUUGGUGGCAUUAGCGAAUGAAUCAAAACUUUCAACAACGGAUCUCUUGGUUCUGGCAUCGAUGAAGAACGCAGC